rnacentral:rRNA from 1 species
UGAUCCUUGCUCAGGAUGAACGCUGGCGGUAUGCUUAACACAUGCAAGUCGAACGGUCUCUUCGGAGAUAGUGGCGGACGGGUGAGUAACGCGUGAGAAUCUAGCUUCAGGUCGGGGACAACCACUGGAAACGGUGGCUAAUACCGGAUGUGCCGAAAGGUGAAAGAUUUAUUGCCUGAAGAUGAGCUCGCGUCUGAUUAGCUAGUAGGUGUGGUAAGAGCGCACCUAGGCGACGAUCAGUAGCUGGUCUGAGAGGAUGAUCAGCCACACUGGGACUGAGACACGGCCCAGACUCCUACGGGAGGCAGCAGUGGGGAAUUUUCCGCAAUGGGCGAAAGCCUGACGGAGCAAUACCGCGUGAGGGAGGAAGGCUCUUGGGUUGUAAACCUCUUUUCUCAGGGAAUAAAAAAAUGAAGGUACCUGAGGAAUAAGCAUCGGCUAACUCCGUGCCAGCAGCCGCGGUAAUACGGAGGAUGCAAGCGUUAUCCGGAAUGAUUGGGCGUAAAGGGUCCGCAGGUGGCAAUGUAAGUCUGCUGUUAAAGAAUGAGGCUCAACCUCAUACCAGCAGUGGAAACUACAUAGCUAGAGUGCGUUCGGGGUAGAGGGAAUUCCUGGUGUAGCGGUGAAAUGCGUAGAUAUCAGGAAGAACACCGGUGGCGAAAGCGCUCUACUAGGCCGCAACUGACACUGAGGGACGAAAGCUAGGGGAGCGAAUGGGAUUAGAUACCCCAGUAGUCCUAGCCGUAAACGAUGGAUACUAGGCGUGGCUUGUAUCGACCCGAGCCGUGCCGGAGCUAACGCGUUAAGUAUCCCGCCUGGGGAGUACGCACGCAAGUGUGAAACUCAAAGGAAUUGACGGGGGCCCGCACAAGCGGUGGAGUAUGUGGUUUAAUUCGAUGCAACGCGAAGAACCUUACCAAGACUUGACAUGUCGCGAACCUUCUUGAAAGAGAAGGGUGCCUUAGGGAGCGCGAACACAGGUGGUGCAUGGCUGUCGUCAGCUCGUGUCGUGAGAUGUUGGGUUAAGUCCCGCAACGAGCGCAACCCUCGUUUUUAGUUGCCAGCAUUAAGUUGGGCACUCUAGAGAGACUGCCGGUGACAAACCGGAGGAAGGUGGGGAUGACGUCAAGUCAGCAUGCCCCUUACGUCUUGGGCUACACACGUACUACAAUGCUACGGACAAAGGGCAGCUACACAGCAAUGUGAUGCAAAUCUCAGAAACCGUAGCUCAGUUCAGAUCGCAGGCUGCAACUCGCCUGCGUGAAGGAGGAAUCGCUAGUAAUUGCAGGUCAGCAUACUGCAGUGAAUUCGUUCCCGGGCCUUGUACACACCGCCCGUCACACCAUGGAAGCUGGUAGUGCCCGAAGUCAUUACUCCAACCUUUCGGGGGGGAGGAUGCCUAAGGCAGGACUGGUGACUGGGGUGAAGUCGUAACAAGGUAGCCGUACCGGAAGGUGUGGCUGGAUCACCUCCUUUUAGGGAGACCUACACCCCUCAGAACUCGAAAACACAUAGUGAAUAGAGACUGAGUUGGUUAUUCCUAGGUCGGUCGAGAUUGUUCAAARCUUUCAAAAUAUUUUGGUUUCAGUCCAUCACGUUAAAGUUUAAUUAAUUAAUGGAAAUAAAGUUCAGCAACAUGGGUCAUACUAGCCWSACUGCUGGGUGAAAGUCCAGCCAGAACCUUGAAAACUGCAUAGUAACGCGAAAAAAGCAGGCAGACACAGACAAAGUGUUUGCAAGUGGAAAACCAAUGGAAAUGUGGUCAAGCUAAUAARGGCUGACGGUGGAUACCUAGGCACACACAGGCGAAGAACGGACGUGGUUACCGACGAUAUACUCCGGGGGAAGUUGGAAGCAAACAUU